rnacentral:lncRNA from 12 species
AUGGGGAGGAAGGACAGGGGAGAGAGAAGGGGUCCGGGGGACCCCCCCGCCCCCAGCAGCCACAGGGAAACGCUCCCGGGCCCUGGGCCGGGCGGGGCGGGGGAGGGGGGCGUCGGUCCGGGAGAGCCGCUGCCGGGCUCUCCCCGGGCCGCGCCAGGGCGCACAACUUACAACUUAGGCGGCGGUCCGUUCCCGGCGCCCACGCCCGACCCGCCUCGCCGAAAUGCCAGUCCCCGCGGCCGCCGCCACCGGCCGAGGUCGCGCGCCGGGCACAGGCUGCCAGCACGCUGGGGGAUCGGGAAGGCCCCCGGGCUCGCAAGGGCCGCCCAAGCCUGGCCCCCAGCCCCGGGGCCCCUCGCGGCCGAGGAAGGGAAGGAAAGGCAGCGGGACAGAGGCCGAAGGACCCACCUGGCGGAGGCCGCGCGCCGGAGGGACAGAGCACGGGAGUUGGGACGCUCGCGCGGGGUUGCACGGGUCCGUCCCGGCAAAAUGAUGAAUGUGCUGAAACAAAAUUUACCGUUCAACGGUCCCAAACUAUUUAGAGGGAAAAGAAGUUUAAACAAAUACACUUCCAAACGUUGUUACAAGUUUGCAUCAUUCAUAUGCAUGAAGUUAUCAAAACUUUAAUUGCUUCCUCCCCAGGUGAGUGUUGGGAUCCGAAAAAAUGCAGGCACUCCUUCCUCCCCAUCGCCUCCCUCCCGCUCUUUGCUGAGGACCUGCUAGGGAGUCGGCGCUCUUGCAUGACUACUGCACACCGCCUAGGUGGAUAGGGAUGUCCUGGGUCCGAAGUAAUCACAGCGACUGGCAGGUUUCUCCUGCCUGGCCAGUUUAUUUAUCGAUUUCUUCCUAACUGUUGAAAGAGGAACAUGUUGGUCUGGCAAAAUAAUGCUCCCAUAAUGGAGACGCGUGUAGAUUAUGAGAGGAAAAGGAACCUAACAGGUGACGCUGCCACUCGAGAUGAGGGGUAUUAAUUGGUCCUGUAUCCUCCCAGCAAGUUCUAAUCUAAGGAGAGAGAGAGAGAAAUGCAUUUCUCUAGAUGCAUCUAGUGCAUCUAGAAAUGCACUAGACAGUGGCAUCUGCAUGGCACGAUGGGUUAAGCAUCUGCCUUGGGCUCACUCAUGAUCCCAGAGUUCUGAGAUCAAGACCCCCUAGGGCUCCCUGCUCAGUUGGGAGCCUGCUUCUCCUCUACUUUUUUGCACCCCCCCCCCCGCUUGAGCACACGUGCUCUCUCUCUCUCUCUCAAAUAAAUAAAAUCUUAAAAUAAGAAAAACCCA